CAAGAGAUAGUUUAAUGUAAAACAACAGCUUUGGGAGUUGUAAAUGUAAGUGCAACCCUUAUUCUCUUGA
rnacentral:tRNA from 1 species